UCCAAACCAUAAACUAUAUAGACUGGCCUUCUGCGGGAUAUCCAUUGAUGCAUCCGCAGGCAGCCUCCGAGAAAUCACAAGUUUUUGUAUUCCAGGGGAAGUAUGGUUGGAAAUG